CAGUAGCCGCGGGAAUACAGAGGGUGCGAGCGUUAAUCGGAUUUACUGGGCGUAAAGCGUGCGUAGGCGGCUUCUUAAGUCGGAUGUGAAAUCCCUGAGCUUAACUUAGGAAUUGCAUUCGAUACUGGGAAGCUAGAGUAUGGGAGAGGAUGGUAGAAUUCCAUGUGUAGCGGUGAAAUGCGUAGAGAUCUGGAGGAAUACCGAUGGCGAAGGCAGCCAUCUGGCCUAAUACUGACGCUGAGGUACGAAAGCAUGGGGAGCAAACAGGAUUAGAUACCCCUGUAGUCCCUGUCUCUUAUAC
rnacentral:rRNA from 1 species